AUUGAACGCUGGCGGCAUGCCUUACACACGCAAGUCGAACGGCAGCACGGAGCUUGCUCUGGUGGCGAGUGGCGAACGGGUGAGUAAUAUAUCGGAACGUACCCAAGAGGGGGGGAUAACGUAGCGAAAGUUACGCUAAUACCGCAUACGAUCUAAGGAUGAAAGCAGGGGACCGCAAGGCCUUGUGCUCCUGGAGCGGCCGAUAUCUGAUUAGCUAGUUGGUGAGGUAAAGGCUCCCCAAGGCAUCGAUCAGUAGCUGGUCUGAGAGGACGACCAGCCCCACUGGAACUGAGACACGGUCCAGACUCCUACGGGAGGCAGCAGUGGGGAAGUUUGGACAAAGGGGGCAACCCUGAUCCAGCAAUGCCGCGGGAGUGAAGAAGGCCUUCGGGUUGUAAAGCUCUUUUGUCAGGGAAGAAACGGUCGUGGCUAAUAUCCAUGGCUAAUGACGGUACCUGAAGAAUAAGCACCGGCUAACUACGUGCCAGCAGCCGCAGUAA
rnacentral:rRNA from 1 species